rnacentral:rRNA from 1 species
GACGAACGCUGGCGGCGUGCCUAAUACAUGCAAGUUGAGCGCUGAAGGUUGGUACUUGUACCGACUGGAUGAGCAGCGAACGGGUGAGUAACGCGUGGGGAAUCUGCCUUUGAGCGGGGGACAACAUUUGGAAACGAAUGCUAAUACCGCAUAAAAACUUUAAACACAAGUUUUAAGUUUGAAAGAUGCAAUUGCAUCACUCAAAGAUGAUCCCGCGUUGUACUAGCUAGUUGGUGAGGUAAAGGCUCACCAAGGCGAUGAUACAUAGCCGACCUGGGAGGGUGAUCGGCCACAUUGGGACUGAGACACGGCCCAAACUCCUACGGGAGGCAGCAGUAGGGAAUCUUCGGCAAUGGACGAAAGUCUGACCGAGCAACGCCGCGUGAGUGAAGAAGGUUUUCGGAUCGUAAAACUCUGUUGGUAGAGAAGAACGUUGGUGAGAGUGGAAAGCUCAUCAAGUGACGGUGACUACCCAGAAAGGGACGGCUAACUACGUG